CUCUGCCAAAGUCUUCGAAUUUUUAUUAUUGGAGUUUGGGAAGAUUCGAAUGUGCCCAGAGCUCUCCUAGGGGGGCCACCUGCCACCUUCUCUGGGGUCCACAGCCUUGGAACUCUGGCAGGGGAGUUGGAGGGAGAGGGGAUGGAAAGCAGGGCAAAGGAAGCGUGCGUGCAAAGGCUGGACUGAGACAGAGGCUUGAUUUUAGCUGGUCAGGGGACAAUGGCCACAGUUUGGACUGGGAAGGGGGCAGGGGUCUCUGUGUGGCCAGCCUAGGUAGAGUAGGGACCCAGUUGUGGCAGUGGAGUGUGUAGAUGAAUGAAUGAAUGUGUGAGGCUCGAAAGACAGGUGCCCAGCCAGACACUAGUUGAGUGGAUGGCAGGACUGGGGCAUUGGUCCUGGUGCCCACGGCUGCCCAGCCCUCAAACUAGCAAAGGCUACUGAUUUCACUUUUGCUACACCCCCACUUGCAGCAGCUGCUGGAAAGGCCAGCCAGGACAUCUCGGCUGCCCCGAAGAACC
ensembl:lncRNA novel transcript, antisense to RLN3